UGUGUCUGCACCCCCCGACCCGUGAGGAGGUCUGUGCCCCCGACCCGUCCGUGUGCCUGCGCCCCCCGACCCGUGUGGAUGGUUGCAGACCCCAUCCCGUGAGGUUGUCUGUGCCCCCCGACCCGUGUGUGUGCCUGCACCGCCCAACCCCAUGAGUGUGCCUGCGCCCCCCAUCCGUGAGGAUGUUUGCGCUCCCGAACCGUGAGCAUGGCUACGGACCCAGACCCCGUGAGGAUGCCAGCACCUCCCGACUCCGUCAUGGUGGCUGCACCCCCCGACCCGUGAGGAAGUCUGUGCCUCCAGACCUCGUGCAUGUGCCUGCGUUCCCAGAUCCGCGCGGAUGUCUGCGCCCCCAACCAGUGAGGGUGCCUGCGCCCCCUGACUCCGUGCAUGUGCCGGAGCCCCCAGACCCUGUGAGGAUUUCUGUGCCUCCCGGACCGUGAGGGGGCCUGCGCCCCCCGACCUGUGAGGAAGUCUGCGCCCCCCAACCCCAUGAGUGUGCCUGAGCCCCCCGACCGGUGAGGAUGUCCAGGCCACCGAGCCGUGAGCAUGGUUGCGGACCCCGACCCCGUGCGGGGGGCUGCAGUAGACAUCAACCCGUGAGGGUGCCAGCGCCUCCCAACCCCGUGAGGGUGCCAGCGCCUCCCAACCCCAUGAGGGUGGCUGCACCCCCGACCUCUUGAGGUUGCCUGGGCCCCUCGACCCGUGAGAGUCCACCGACCAGAGAAGAUGCCAGCACUCCCGACCCUGUGAGUGUGCCUGGGCCCCCAACACUGUGAGAAUGCCCGUGCCCCCCGACCCGUGAGGGUGCCCGUGCCCCCUGACCCGUGAAGUUGCCAGCGGCCUCCAAUCCGUGAGUGUGCCAGCACCCCCGAUUCUGUGUGGGUGCCAACGCCCUCCAUCCCGUGAGGAUUUCUGAGCCCACCCAAUGUGGGGAGGAUGUCUACGUGCCCCCCCCCACAGUGGCAGUCACAGCUACCCCCAGCCCUCCCCCACCCCAACCACAGCCCACAGGUGGGCCUUCCUCAGUCUUCCUGGGCAGACAAAACUCCAGGAGGCUCCCGAGCUGUCUUUCAGAAUCCCUCUCAGUGGUCCCUGAGGAGCGUCAGCCAAGGAUCCGAACCACUGGCAGAUGUGGGUGCCUGUUGCUGUUGAUUUCUCAACAAUGUUGCAGUGGAUUCAUUUCUGAGAGGAACAGCGUGGUGGGGGCAAGAGGCGCGGAGUCACUACACAGACCCCGGGAGUCCAGUGAAAGCAGGCUUGAGGAGCCCUCAGGAGGAUGCUAGGACUCCGGUAUGCAGUGGGCUGGCCGUCAGGACCACGGGGUGGUGUGCAGUCCCCGCCUGCAGCUUCUUUGAACCCUGGGGCAUCAGCUUUCCAAUCUCUGUGUGGUGAGGAAGAACUUGAACUUCCUGUAUGACCCGAUUUCCUUGAGUGAGGCAGCAGAUCUCAAGCAGGCCUCUCGGCGUAGGGGUCUGGGUCAGUUUUCUUGUUGCUAAUCGUGCAGCAGCACAGGCUCGGUGCGUGAGAAGGAAGCAGUAUUAUUGACCUCAUGGUUUUGGUGCAGGUCUAGGGGCAGCAUCUGGUGAUGGUCUUCUUGUUGGUAGAGGCCUGGGUGGCACAGAGACCAGUGGACAGACAGAAGGGGUGCAGAGGGGGCCAAUCCAAAGUGGUCUAUGUUGCAGUCCCCUAGGGAUAAGGCAUUAAUCCAUGAACACAUGAGUGGAUUUAUCCUGAUCACUUCCUGCAGGGCCUCACCUGUUCUCACUGCUGAAUUUCUCAUCACUGGAUUAACUGUGCCCAUGAGUUUCAGAGGGGAUAAACCAUGUUUAAUAGAGAGCAUGCAGGCUUGCAGGAGGUCCCUAAAUUUCCAGGUCUCCUCCCACCUAGUUUUGAGAUUUAGUGCUUCUGCCCCUCAUGUGGAAGAAGGCACCCUUUCUUAGGGCUUUCAAGGAAAGAAGGAAAGGACUUCAAGCUUUUCUUCCUACUAGGAUCACCUAUUAUUUUCAUUGCUUGCAACCUCAUCCGAUUUUCUGAAUCACGAACAUGCAUAUUGCCUGAGUAUUACCAAGAAAAUCUUACAAGUUGUCAUGUGACAUGCUAGAAAGGACCCGUGUGUGUUGAAUGUCCUUAUGUACUUCUGUUGCCAUAUCAGGGAUUUUGUGCCUCAAAAAAUGUUCCUAAGGUCAUAUGUUUAUAUUUGUUUU